rnacentral:lncRNA from 1 species
GUAAUAGCCAUAGCAAUUGAUAUUUGGUAAGUUUUAAUUAACUUAAUUAACCAACCGGUUGGAUUUUUAAAAACCCAUUUUUUUUUAACAAACAGAUGUGUUCCUCUCUUUUUGUUUUAUUUAUGUUUUAUAGGCGAGCAAUUCGAACUGCAUUUAAAAACAGAAAGCGGGCUGCUAUUCUGACCACUCACUAUAUGGAGGAGGCAGAGGCUGUCUGUGAUCGAGUAGCUAUCAUGGUGUCUGGGCAGUUAAGAUGUAUCGGAACAGUACAACAUCUAAAGAGUAAAUUUGGAAAAGGCUACUUUUUGGAAAUUAAAUUGAAGGACUGGAUAGAAAACCUAGAAGUAGACCGCCUUCAAAGAGAAAUUCAGUAUAUUUUCCCAAAUGCAAGCCGUCAGGAAAGUUUUUCUUCUAUUUUGGCUUAUAAAAUUCCUAAGGAAGAUGUUCAGUCCCUUUCACAAUCUUUUUUUAAGCUGGAAGAAGGUAAGUAGUAUCUUCUAUUUUGGCUUAUAAAAUUCCUAAGGAAGAUGUUCAGUCCCUUUCACAAUCUUUUUUUAAGCUGGAAGAAGCUAAACAUGCUUUUGCCAUUGAAGAAUAUAGCUUUUCUCAAGCAACAUUGGAACAGGUUUUUGUAGAACUCACUAAAGAACAAGAGGAGGAAGAUAAUAGUUGUGGAACUUUAAACAGCACACUUUGGUGGGAACGAACACAAGAAGAUAGAGUAGUAUUUUGAAUUUGUAUUGUUCGGUCUGCUUACUGGGACUUCUUUCUUUUUCACUUAAUUUUAACUUUGGUUUAAAAAGUUUUUUAUUGGAAUGGUAACUGGAGAACCAAGAACGCACUUGAAAUUUUUCUAAGCUCCUUAAUUGAAAUGCUGUGGUUGUGUGUUUUGCU